rnacentral:rRNA from 1 species
CCUACGGGAGGCAGCAGUGGGGAAUUUUCCGCAAUGGGCGAAAGCCUGACGGAGCAAUACCGCGUGAGGGAGGAAGGCUCUUGGGUUGUAAACCUCUUUUUUCAGGGAAGAUAAUGACGGUACCUGAGGAAUAAGCAUCGGCUAACUCCGUGCCAGCAGCCGCGGUAAUACGGAGGAUGCAAGCGUUAUCCGGAAUGAUUGGGCGUAAAGCGUCCGCAGGUGGUUUUAAAAGUCUGUUGUUAAAGCGUGAGACUUAACCUCAUAAGGGCAAUGGAAACUGUAAGACUAGAGUACGUUCGGGGCAAGGGGAAUUCCCAGUGUAGCGGUGAAAUGCGUAGAGAUUGGGAAGAACACCGGUGGCGAAAGCGCCUUGCUAGGCCGUAACUGACACUGAGGGACGAAAGCUAGGGGAGCGAAUGGGAUUAGAUACCCCAGUAGUCCUAGCCGUAAACGAUGGAUACUAGGCGUUGUCUGUAUCGACCCGGACAGUGCCGUAGCUAACGCGUUAAGUAUCCCGCCUGGGGAUACGCACGCAAGUGUGAAACUCAAAGGAAUUGACGGCUGAGACNGCACGCGACACGAGGAGAG